rnacentral:tRNA from 1 species
GCGGCGGUGGGUGUGAGCGGCAGCACACCUCGAAACAGAGGCCGAGGGGAGCGGGUUCGAGACCCGCACCGCUGCC